UACGGGGGGGGUAAGCGUUGUCCGGAUUUACUGGGCGUAAAGAGCGCGCAGGCGGUCGAAUAAGUCGAAUGUGAAAGCCCCCGGCUUAACUGGGGAGGGUCAUUCGAUACUGCUCGACUUGAAGGCAGGAGAGGGAAGUGGAAUUCCCGGUGUAGUGGUGAAAUGCGUAGAUAUCAGGAGGAACACCGGUGGCGAAGGCGGGUCUCUGGGCCGUAACUGACGCUGAGGAGCGAAAGCAUGGGGAGCGAACAGG
rnacentral:rRNA from 1 species